rnacentral:rRNA from 1 species
UACGUAGGGGGCUAGCGUUGUCCGGAAUCAUUGGGCGUAAAGAGCGUGUAGGCGGCCCGGUAAGUCCGCUGUAAAAGUCAAAGGCUCAACCUUUGAAUGUCAGUGGAUACUGCCGGGCUAGAGUCCGGAAGAGGCGAGUGGAACUCCUGGUGUAGCGGUGGAAUGCGUAGAUAUCGGGAGGAACACCAGUGGCGAAGGCGACUUCCUGGCCUGUUCUUGACGCUGAGGCGCGAAAGCUAGGGUAGCAAACGGG